rnacentral:rRNA from 1 species
CCUACGGGGGGCUGCAGUGGGGAAUAUUGGACAAUGGGGGGAACCCUGAUCCAGCCAUGCCGCGUGUGUGAAGAAGGCCCUCGGGUUGUAAAGCACUUUCAGUGAGGAAGAACGCCUGGUGGUUAAUACCCAUCAGGAAAGACAUCACUCACAGAAGAAGCACCGGCUAACUCCGUGCCAGCAGCCGCGGUAAUACGGAGGGUGCGAGCGUUAAUCGGAAUUACUGGGCGUAAAGCGCGCGUAGGUGGCUUGAUAAGCCGGUUGUGAAAGCCCCGGGCUCAACCUGGGAACGGCCUCCGGAACUAUCAAGCUAGAGUGCAGGAGAGGAAGGUAGAAUUCCCGGUGUAGCGGUGAAAUGCGUAGAGAUCGGGAGGAAUACCAGUGGCGAAGGCGGCCUUCUGGACUGACACUGACACUGAGGUGCGAAAGCGUGGGUAGCAAACAGGAUUAGAUACCCCGGUAGUC